rnacentral:rRNA from 1 species
CUACGGGUGGCUCCAGUGGGGAAUAUUGCACAAUGGGCGCAAGCCUGAUGCAGCCAUGCCGCGUGUAUGAAGAAGGCCUUCGGGUUGUAAAGUACUUUCAGCGGGGAGGAAGGGAGUAAAGUUAAUACCUUUGCUCAUUGACGUUACCCGCAGAAGAAGCACCGGCUAACUCCGCUGCCAGCAGCCGCGGUAAUACGGAGGGUGCAAGCGUUAAUCGGAAUUACUGGGCGUAAAGCGCACGCAGGCGGUUUGUUAAGUCAGAUGCGAAAUCCCCGGGCUCAACCUGGGAACUGCAUCUGAUACUGGCAAGCUUGAGUCUCGUAGAGGGGGGUAGAAUUCCAGGUGUAGCGGUGAAAUGCGUAGAGAUCUGGAGGAAUACCGGUGGCGAAGGCGGCCCCCUGGACGAAGACUGACGCUCAGGUGCGAAAGCGUGGGGAGCAAACAGGAUUAGAUACCCCGGUAGUC